rnacentral:rRNA from 1 species
UACGUAGGGUGCAAGCGUUGUCCGGAAUUAUUGGGCGUAAAGAGCUCGUAGGCGGUCUGUCGCGUCUGCUGUGAAAACCUAGGGCUUAACUCUGGGCGUGCAGUGGGUACGGGCAGACUAGAGUGCGGUAGGGGAGACUGGAAUUCCUGGUGUAGCGGUGAAAUGCGCAGAUAUCAGGAGGAACACCGAUGGCGAAGGCAGGUCUCUGGGCAUUAACUGACGCUGAGGAGCGAAAGCAUGGGGAGCGAACAGG